UACGUAGGGGGCAAGCGUUGUCCGGAUUCAUUGGGCGUAAAGCGCGUGUAGGCGGCCAGGUAGGUCCGGUGUGAAAACUCGAGGCUCAACCUCGAGAGGUCAUCGGAAACCAUCUGGCUAGAGUCCGGAAGAGGAGAGUGGAAUUCCCGGUGUAGCGGUGAAAUGCGCAGAUAUCGGGAAGAACACCUAUGGCGAAGGCAGCUCUCUGGGACGGUACUGACGCUGAGACGCGAAAGCGUGGGG
rnacentral:rRNA from 1 species